CCUAAUACAUGCAAGUCGAACGCUUCUUUCCUCCCGAGUGCUUGCACUCAAUUGGAAAGAGGAGUGGCGGACGGGUGAGUAACACGUGGGUAACCUACCCAUCAGAGGGGGAUAACACUUGGAAACAGGUGCUAAUACCGCAUAACAGUUUAUGCCGCAUGGCAUAAGAGUGAAAGGCGCUUUCGGGUGUCGCUGAUGGAUGGACCCGCGGUGCAUUAGCUAGUUGGUGAGGUAACGGCUCACCAAGGCCACGAUGCAUAGCCGACCUGAGAGGGUGAUCGGCCACACUGGGACUGAGACACGGUCCAGACUCCUACGGGAGGCAGCAGUGGGGAAUAUUGCACAAUGGGCGCAAGCCUGAUGCAGCCAUGCCGCGUGUAUGAAGAAGGCCUUCGGGUUGUAAAGUACUUUCAGCGGGGAGGAAGGGAGUAAAGUUAAUACCUUUGCUCAUUGACGUUACCCGCAGAAGAAGCACCGGCUAACUCCGUGCCAGCAGCCGCGGUAAUACGGAGGGUGCAAGCGUUAAUCGGAAUUACUGGGCGUAAAGCGCACGCAGGCGGUUUGUUAAGUCAGAUGUGAAAUCCCCGGGCUCAACCUGGGAACUGCAUCUGAUACUGGCAAGCUUGAGUCUCGUAGAGGGGGGUAGAAUUCCAGGUGUAGCGGUGAAAUGCGUAGAGAUCUGGAGGAAUACCGGUGGCGAAGGCGGCCCCCUGGACGAAGACUGACGCUCAGGUGCGAAAGCGUGGGGAGCAAACAGG
rnacentral:rRNA from 1 species